UGCAAGUCAGAAGAAAAACAUCAGAGAUUUUCUUCAUAAAACAUCAUAUGAUUCUUUAGCAUAAAAGAUAAGAUACACUAUUCUCAACUGAUAAACUGCAACUUGCAUGUGUCAAACCACAGACUUCUCCUCGUCAACCUUGGGCUUUUCAUUUGCUGCUAUCACCUUGUCAAGAAGACACACGAGGGAAUAAAAUGCAUGGAUACAGACCUGAGGGACUUUGAGUAAGAAGUAAAAUGGGAACUUUUUCACCAAAAUGUGUUCUGAUAAUGCUGUCUGCUGAUUUUAUAUAAUGGCAUUGCAAAGUGUGUGAAACCACAGCAUAAUGAGGAAUCAAGACGACUAGUUAAGAAUAUAGGGCAGGAUUAACAUGCACAUGAAGAAUACAGGAGGAGAUUCGGGCAACAGUAGCAGUCAUUGGCUAGGAGGAAAGAGAGCUUGAGCUGACCGAGCUAUCAGUCUCAGAGAUGAUCCCAACCACAGAUACAAAAGCUGAGCCAGAUCACUUGGGAAUUUGUCACCAUUCAUACUGUAGUUCAGAUAUGAAGUCAGUAGCCACAAUAACGCUUUUCCUGAAUUUAUUAUUAUGCAUUCCUAAUAAUAAAAAGA